GAUACCCUGGUAGUCCACGCCGUAAACGAUGAGUGCUAAGUGUUAGAGGGUUUCCGCCCUUUAGUGCUGAAGUUAACGCAUUAAGCACUCCGCCUGGGGAGUACGGCCGCAAGGCUGAAACUCAAAGGAAUUGACGGGGGCCCGCACAAGCGGUGGAGCAUGUGGUUUAAUUCGAAGCAACGCGAAGAACCUUACCAGGUCUUGACAUCCUCUGAAAACCCUAGAGAUAGGGCUUCUCCUUCGGGAGCAGAGUGACAGGUGGUGCAUGGUUGUCGUCAGCUCGUGUCGUGAGAUGUUGGGUUAAGUCCCGCAACGAGCGCAACCCUUGAUCUUAGUUGCCAUCAUUAAGUUGGGCACUCUAAGGUGACUGCCGGUGACAAACCGGAGGAAGGUGGGGAUGACGUCAAAUCAUCAUGCCCCUUAUGACCUGGGCUACACACGUGCUACAAUGGACGGUACAAAGAGCUGCAAGACCGCGAGGUGGAGCUAAUCUCAUAAAACCGUUCUCAGUUCGGAUUGUAGGCUGCAACUCGCCUACAUGAAGCUGGAAUCGUUAG
rnacentral:rRNA from 1 species